CCCUUAGAUGUCCUGGGCCGCAUGCGCGCUACACUGAUGCAUGCAACGAGUUUAUAACCUUGGCCUGAAAGGUCUGGGUAAUCUUUUGAACGUGCAUCGUGAUAGGGAUAGAUUAUUGCAAUUGUUAAUCUUGAACGAGGAAUUCCUAGUAAACGCGAGUCAUCAGCUCGCAUUGAUUACGUCCCUGCCCUUUGUACACACCGCCCGUCGCACCUACCGAUUGAAUGGUUCGGUGAAGAUCUCGGACUUCGAUAUUUAUUCUUUAUUGAGUUUAUAUUGUGGGAAGUUAUCUAAACCUCAUCAUUUAGAGGAAGGUGAAGUCGUAACA
rnacentral:rRNA from 1 species